CCUUUUGUAAGUGGAUGUCUGUGAUACCGUUUCAGUUUUACAAAAAAAUCCGUUUGUUUCACACUAUUCAACCCGCAAUCCUCUAUCCAGUCGCAACGAGGACGAGAAGAUGAGGGGCGGUGCCCUUGUCGACGACGACGGAGACGGCUAAAUCCGCGGUGGGGGACGAGAAGGUAGAUGCCGUGGGUGCGUGCUCAGGCAAGGUAGGCCAUCCUUGUUGCGCUCGUGUGCAUUGAUGGAGGGUGGAAGAGGGGACAGCCGAACAAGUUCAGGUGCGUACGUCAGCUGCCAGCGCCGGCCGCGAGCACGCGGCGCGGCGUGGGCUUGCUGGAGACGAGGCGGAGAAGGAGCGUGGAGUAAGGGCGCCUUGGUGCUCGUGGUGGACCAGAUCCAGUGAGGGGAGGUGGGAUCCGUCGGCUGGUUGCUUCCCUGCGAGAGAAGAUUUCAGGAAGGGAGAGAGCAGAGAAGUGGGAAAAGGAGAGGGUGCAGGGUCGGAGGUACACGUGCACAAUCGUGGAUGCAUGCGAAUGGCUCAGGACGGAGUCCACCGACCUGUACUGGUCAUGGUCCACCAUCGCCACGCCUUCGAUCCGACCUCCAGCACUCCAGCGACCAGGAGCAUCGCAGUGGCUGCAAUUUGUAUGCUAAGAUGAACUUGAGUGUCGAGGUUGAUUUGGAAGAUUAUGUCUCCAGAACAGAUAAAAUCGAUGCUGAUGAUAUGAGGGCCUUUGCACAAUGCUGAACAUUCUUUUUCACUUGUACUACUUCAGCAUUAGAAAUUUCAUUGCCUCAGAUUAAUUAUAAAAUGAUAAUGAUUUAUAAAUCCUUUACUCUUAAAA